rnacentral:rRNA from 1 species
GUGGGGAAUAUUGGGCAAUGGGCGAAAGCCUGACCCAGCAACGCCGCGUGAAGGAAGAAGGCUUUCGGGUUGUAAACUUCUUUUGUCAGGGACGAAAAAAAUGACGGUACCUGACGAAUAAGCCACGGCUAACUACGUGCCAGCAGCCGCGGUAAUACGUAGGUGGCAAGCGUUAUCCGGAUUUACUGGGUGUAAAGGGCGUGUAGGCGGGAAAGCAAGUCAGAUGUGAAAACUAUGGGCUCAACCCAUAGCCUGCAUUUGAAACUGUUUUUCUUGAGUACUGGAGAGGCAGAUGGAAUUCCUAGUGUAGCGGUGAAAUGCGUAGAUAUUAGGAGGAACACCAGUGGCGAAGGCGAUCUGCUGGACAGCAACAGACGCUGAGGCGCGAAAGCGUGGGGAGCAAACAGGAUUAGAUACCCGUGUAGUCC